UACAGAGGGGGCAAGCGUUGUUCGGAAUUACUGGGCGUAAAGGGCGCGUAGGCGGCCUGCUAAGUCGAACGUGAAAUCCCUGGGCUCAACCCAGGAACUGCGUCCGAUACUGGUUGGCUUGAAUCCGGGAGAGGGAUGUGGAAUUCCAGGUGUAGCGGUGAAAUGCGCAGAUAUCGGGAAGAACACCCGUGGCGAAGGCGGUUCUCUGGGACGGUACUGACGCUGAGACGCGAAAGCGUGGGGAGCGAACAGG
rnacentral:rRNA from 1 species